rnacentral:rRNA from 1 species
CCUACGGGAGGCAGCAGUGGGGAAUAUUGCUCAAUGGGGGAAACCCUGAUGCAGCGACGCCGCGUGAAGGAUGAAGGUAUUCGGUAUGUAAAGCUCUAUCAGCAGGGAAGAAAAUGACGGUAUCUGAGGAAGAAGCCCCGGCUAACUACGUGCCAGCAGCCGCGGUAAUACGGAGGGUGCAAGCGUUAUCCGGAUUCACUGGGCGUAAAGAGAGCGUAGACGGCAUGGCAAGUCAGGUGUGAAAGGCUGGGGCUUAACCCUAGAACUGCUUUGGAAACUGUAAGUCUGGAGUGCAGGAGAGGUAAGUGGAAUUCGUGGUGUAGCGGUGAAAUGCGUAGAUAUCAAGAGGAAUACCGAUGGCGAAGGCGGCCUACUGGACUGUAACUGACGUUGAGGCUCGAAAGCGUGGGGAGCAAACAGGAUUAGAUACCCGUGUAGUC